rnacentral:rRNA from 1 species
UACGUAGGGACCGAGCGUUGUCCGGAAUUAUUGGGCGUAAAGAGCUCGUAGGCGGCUUGUCACGUCGGGUGUGAAAGCCCGGGGCUUAACCCCGGGUCUGCAUUCGAUACGGGCUGGCUAGAGUGUGGUAGGGGAGAUCGGAAUUCCUGGUGUAGCGGUGAAAUGCGCAGAUAUCAGGAGGAACACCGGUGGCGAAGACGGAUCUCUGGGCCAUUACUGACGCUGAGGAGCGAAAGCGUGGGGAGCGAACAGG